AACGAACGCUGGCGGCAUGCCUAACACAUGCAAGUCGAACGAGACCUUCGGGUCUAGUGGCGCACGGGUGCGUAACGCGUGGGAACCUGCCCUUAGGUUCGGAAUAACUCCCCGAAAGGGGUGCUAAUACCGGAUAAUGUCUUCGGACCAAAGAUUUAUCGCCUUUGGAUGGGCCCGCGUUGGAUUAGCUAGUUGGUAGGGUAAAAGCCUACCAAGGCGACGAUCCAUAGCUGGUCUGAGAGGAUGAUCAGCCACACUGGGACUGAGACACGGCCCAGAGUCCGACGGGAGGCAGAAGAAGGGAAUCUUCCGCAAUGGGCGAAAGCGUGACGGAGCAAGGCCGCGUGAGUGAUGAAGGUCUUCGGAUCGUAAAACUCUGUUAUUAGGGAAGAACAUAUGUGUAAGUAACUGUGCACAUCGUGACGGUACCUAAUCAGAAAGCCACGGCUAACUACGUG
rnacentral:rRNA from 1 species